rnacentral:ncRNA from 1 species
UAUGAUAAAGCCAAACCUGCCGUAAGGUAGGGACGGAAAACCACAGGUCUUAAAUUGAAGAUAGCUGGGUUACCAUUU